GAUGAACGCUGGCGGCGUGCCUAAUACAUGCAAGUCGAGCGAACAGACGAGGAGCUUGCUCCUCUGACGUUAGCGGCGGACGGGUGUGUAACACGUGGAUAACCUACCUAUAAGACUGGGAUAACUUCGGGAAACCGGAGCUAAUACCGGAUAAUAUAUUGAACCGCAUGGUUCAAUAGUGAAAGACGGUUUUGCUGUCACUUAUAGAUGGAUCCGCGCCGCAUUAGCUAGUUGGUAAGGUAACGGCUUACCAAGGCAACGAUGCGUAGCCGACCUGAGAGGGUGAUCGGCCACACUGGAACUGAGACACGGUCCAGACUCCUACGGGAGGUAGCAGUAGGGAAUCUUCCGCAAUGGGCGAAAGCCUGACGGAGCAACGCCGCGUGAGUGAUGAAGGUCUUCGGAUCGUAAAACUCUGUUAUUAGGGAAGAACAAAUGUGUAAGUAACUAUGCACGUCUUGACGGUACCUAAUCAGAAAGCCACGGCUAACUACGUG
rnacentral:rRNA from 1 species